CUAAGAUUCGAAUUAAUUGAGGUUAUGAACUGGAUUAACGACUAUUACGGUGACAUACCCAAUUUAAUUAUUUACUCUUUUAGAUUGUUGGAGAAGGGAUAUAGUUGUGCAUAUUGAACUCGAAGUCCCAUUUAAAAUUAAAAUUCAACUACACGAGUGAUAAUCCUGAUUGUUACUGUGACAUCUUAAUUUAAUUAUUUUCUCUCUUAAAUUGUUAGAGAAGGAAUAUUGUCGUGCCAAUUAAACUCGAAGCCCCAUUUGAAAUUGAAAUUCAACAUGAGUGUUAAAUCUAAUAUGUUUUUACUCUGAUUCAUGAAUACAUUAUUUUACCUAGAAGAAUUGAACAUUCGAUGAAACCUUUUAAACUGUUACUAUAUCUUGAGAUAUUCUGGCAAACUGAAACAUGUUAAUACCCAGAGAAAACCGACAAAAGUGGUUCGCAUAAGGGCUGCGAAAUGACUAUGCACAUUUCUAUGGAACUUGUUAGAUGCAAAAAAAAAAAAAAAUCCUCAUGAGGUAUUACACUUUGCUCACUGCUUUUCUGUACGGGUAUUAGCGGCACUUGAGAUAUGGAACAAGAUGAAGAAAUAACAUAUAAGGUAGUCCACCUUUGAGUAUUUCUUGACCAACAGGACUUUGCUAUUUGUAUUUAUUUAUGAUAUUUCUUGACCAACCAGGACUUUCCUAUUUGUAUUUAUUUAUGAUGAUGAACAUUCUUAUUUUCAAUGUACUGCAACUACUUGUGUUGGAGACUAACUUGUUUCUUGGUGGCUUUUAACUUCUACGACCGAUAUAGAGGCAUGAGGUUGUAUACACACAUAUGUUGCUCGGACUCUUCAAAAAUGCCAACAGGUGUGCGUCGCAUUUUUCAAAAAUAGUGUAUUGUUAAAGAAUUCGAUACAGGUGUGCCAUCGAAAGUAAAGAGUCCUCGCAACUUCAAGAUAGAAUGUCCAGUGAUAUCUGUAUUUUCUCUUCAGUAUAUUAUUCAGCAAUACUCAUUUUCAUCAAAAUAUCGAGUUUUCCGAAUGAGACCAAAAGGAAUUAUUCCUCUCAAAAAGUUUUCCCAUUAGACUCCACACACUUCUCUUACAAUUGAAAAAAAGCCUCAAAAGAAAAAGUUGGAAAUUUUGCCACUAGAAUUGCUAAUUUAAUUCAUAACUUCGUACAGAAACAAACAAUUGAAAACAAGACUUAA